AUUGAACGCUGGCGGCAUGCCUUACACAUGCAAGUCGAACGGCAGCACGGGUGCUUGCACCUGGUGGCGAGUGGCGAACGGGUGAGUAAUACAUCGGAACAUGUCCUGUAGUGGGGGAUAGCCCGGCGAAAGCCGGAUUAAUACCGCAUACGAUCUACGGAUGAAAGCGGGGGACCUUCGGGCCUCGCGCUAUAGGGUUGGCCGAUGGCUGAUUAGCUAGUUGGUGGGGUAAAGGCCUACCAAGGCGACGAUCAGUAGCUGGUCUGAGAGGACGACCAGCCACACUGGGACUGAGACACGGCCCAGACUCCUACGGGAGGCAGCAGUGGGGAAUUUUGGACAAUGGGCGAAAGCCUGAUCCAGCAAUGCCGCGUGUGUUAAGAAGGCCUUCGGGUUGUAAAGCACUUUUGUCCGGAAAGAAAUCCUUGGCCCUAAUACGGUCGGGGGAUGACGGUACCGGAAGAAUAAGCACCGGCUAACUACGUG
rnacentral:rRNA from 1 species